rnacentral:lncRNA from 13 species
GCUCAUGGAUCAUUCUAAUGCAGCAUCAGGAACAGAAACGACCCUGAUGGAGGGCAGUGGAAAUUCACAGCAGGAGAGCCAGCUCAGAGAAAGCACCAGACAGGCCUCCAACACCAUGAGGCCUUAGCUCUGGCCGCUAUAGAGGUGGAGCUUGUGAGCAUGCCGAGAUGGGAGAAAGGGAAGGAUUAGUGAUUCCAUUAAGGAAUCACUUUCCAGGUUCAGGAGUAGAGCUGGGAGUUGCUGUCUUCCCUCUGCACCAGUGAGUCCCUAGAGAGAACUCAGACUCACAAGGUGGAGGUGUGGAUAGAAGAAAAGCUUAAUGCUGCCUCCUGUCUCUCCUGGCCUGAUGGGGAAGAACGAAGAUUUGGGUGGCGUUCCCACAGCCCCUGGCUCCCUUAGGAAACCAGCUCUUUCUCAUCCACUCAGAGAAGAGAUGAUACCUUCCCUACGGGAUCUUGGCUGGUGCCAGAGGAGUGGUGUGCCUCAGGCUGUCCCAGAGGGAGAACCACUGGACCCCCUGAUUUACAGAAUGGAGUUUUGCUCUUAUUGUCCAGGCUGGAGUGCAAUGGCACCAUCUCGGCUCACCGCAACCUCUGCCUCCCGGGUUCAAACAAUUCUCCUGUCUCAGCCUCCCAAGUAGCUGGGAUUAUAGACAUGCACAACACCACCCGGCUACUUUUGUAUUUUUAGCAGAGACGGGGUUUCUCCAUGUUGGUCAGGCUGGUCUUGAACUCCAGACUUCAGGUGAUCUGCCCCCCUCAGCCUCCCAAAGUCCUGGGAUUACAGGUGUGAGCCACCCCACUACCCUGGCUUUCACUCUCUUAAUAGAUAGAAAGUGUUAAUUUAAUGACGUUAAAUUUGAUAAACAGAAAGUCCUAAUUUAAUGAAGUUCGAUUUACCGAUGUUUUCCUUUAUGUUUGUAUUUUUGUGUGUAUGUGUUUUAAAAGAAACAUUGGCCUAUGCCAAGGUUAUAAAGAUCAGUCCCUGAGGCUGGGGAGAGCCAGGCACUAACUGGCUUAGGCCAAUUACCUGAUUAACCCCUGUGGUAGGGAGAUGGGAUAACCCUGAUUGGAUUAGACCAAUCAGGAGCCACCCAACUAGUUUUAAGUCAGUGUUUCUCAAAGUACAAGGGCUUGAUGAGGGAGUUAGAGGAUUUGAAUGAAAAUUGGGUGCUCAUUAGGACAGGAGAAAGGUGAGUGGAUGCUGAGUGGCUCACCAUCAAAGAACCUUUCAGUUCUAUGCACCAAGUAGACUGGAAUCCAGAGGAAAGGAAAAUUAAUAACCUUUAAGUGUUUUCCCAAAGAACACUCCAGAAAUUAAUAAACUCUGAUUUUAAAUGUUGUUAAAU